rnacentral:rRNA from 1 species
UACGGAGGGUGCGAGCGUUGUCCGGAAUCACUGGGCGUAAAGGGCGCGUAGGCGGCGCGGGAAGUCAUCGGUGAAAGUUCAGGGCUCAACUCUGAAUCGGCCGGUGAUACUCUCGUGCUUGAGCACUGUAGAGGCAGGUGGAAUUCCGGGUGUAGCGGGUGGAAUGCGUAGAGAUCCGGAAGAACACCGGUGGCGAAGGCGGCCUGCUGGGCAGUAGCUGACGCUGAUGCGCGACAGCGUGGGGAGCAAACAGG